GUGUUCCUUUUUUGAGCCAUGAACUGUUUUUGUUGUGUGUCAUUGGUUUCGUGAUAACGGAGAUAUAAUGUAAACACACAAUUUACAUGACUGAAAGAGCAUGAAAGUCUCCUAUGACAACUUCUUGUGUUAUCAUUGAGGCUGAGAAAAGAACACAGCAUUGCAGACAACAGAUGGAGGUGAUAGGCGGUCCUGAGGAGGGCGAGACGGGGGCCUGUCUGUACUGAGGUGGAGGCUGUGAUGUGUGAUGACUGUGGCGGUGUGUCUUCUUGAGCUCCUCUCACUCCAACUCCCUUGUGACCGGCAGCACGGCACUCCCAGUGCUCUCACCAAUGUCUCCAGGUUCGAUGUGCCUGCUGCAGGUGGCUGGUGAACUGAGCCGUGAUCAACGCAAGGUUUCUUGCAGGCCCGUGUGGACAGGAGGAGCCGCUGCUGGCCUUCAGGACUGGAAAGUAUGCGCUCUGUGGCCACAGUCCCACCUCUCAGCCUGGGAACGGAAGCAGGGAGUCGCAAGGGAAAACAAGCAGACAAUCAGUGCCCUGGGCUUUGCAAUGGAUAGCUUUCCCCCACCCUCCUGCUCCGAAUGGCCACCCCCACCCCCAGCGCUGAAACCCAGCCAGCCCCAGCUGUCUGUCCAGAUGUGGGAGAGAAGGAGAGGCAAGGUCCAACAGGGGAUGAGGGCCUACAACAAAAAAGGGCUCCAGAAAGAAUGGAGCAAAAAGAGAACCAAGACAGCGAGAAAGAGAGAGAGAAAAAGAGGAAGAUGGAGAGAUGUCAAGGGGAAGUCUGAAUUUGUUCCCAGGGUCUUCAAGUAAAAUGUGGACGAUGAAUGGAAAGGUGUCACAAAGGCUUCCAUUUAAUCUCCGGAUGGUUCAAAAUGAGAGGAUCAAUGACACCAGACUGUGCCUACUUCGAAAAGUCAGCGCAAUCAAGUCUGAUCUCAUGAUCUCAGUGGACUGGAACAUGACCUGUCCCAGAGAGCGCAGACUUGGCAUAGUCGUAUCCAUUUAGUCGUUCAUGCUUGCCUGUGCAGGUCCUUCCAGGCCGGUCCUGAUUUAUGAACGGCCCCUGAGCUCUCACUCCAUCCUGGAGGGGCUCUCUGAUUAGAGAUGGAGAAGAGAGGGUGAGUGCAAACACUCAUGCAUCCACUCACACACCCCAGCAUUUGGUUCUAAUUAUACACGGGGCGACUUCAGGGCCGGGUGUCAUCUAGAACACGGAGCUAGAUUUACACUUGACAUGUUUUAUUCACACAGGUUGGUCCUGGCCUGGUAAUUGCAACAUAUUAUCUGGGCCGAUUCAUCAAAGGGAGCAGCCUGCUACAGUAAACUUUUAAAUGAAUGACUCAUAUGGGUCGCAGACGUGAAAAGUGGAGGGUUUUAUUAACAGAAAAGAGUGAACCAACAAGUACAGUCCAAAUGCUUGGGUAAAAGAGGUGUUUGUGAAAUGUUUAUGCCUUUUUUGAGAAAUACUUGGAAGUGGGCUCUGUUUUUGCAGAACAAGAUUGAGGUUUGAUCAGCCAUCGUUUGGUGGCA
ensembl:lncRNA